rnacentral:rRNA from 1 species
GAUUAACGCUGGCGGCGUGCAUAACACAUGCAAGUCGAACGUUAAAAUUAAAAGGUUUUCUUCGAAUUGAACUAAAGGGGAUAGGGGGCGGCCGGUUGGGUAACCCGUAGGAAACUGGCUUACAACAAGGGGAAACCGUUGGGAAACGCGGAUAAAUACCCAAGAUUUUUUUUUUUCCCCUUAGGUAUUUACCCAAGUGUUUGCGGUGUAAGAUGGGCCUGCGUUUGAUUAGGUAGUUGGUGAGAAAAAAGCCCACCAAGGCAACGAUCAGUAGCCGGCUUGAGAGAGUGUACGGCCACAUUGGGACUGAGACACGGCCCAGACUCCGACGGGAGGCAGCAGUGGGGAAUUUUGCACAAUGGGGGAAACCCUGAUGCAGCGACGCCGCGUGAUUUAGAAGGCCUUCGGGUUGUAAAAAUCUUUUGUAUAGGAAGAAAAUGACAGUACUAUACGAAUAAGGUCCGGCUAAUUACGUG